AUUGAUUCGGUUCUGUGACUCCGAAUCUAAAGACUAAUGCGUGCGGCAUCGAAGAAUUUAUUCCGUGCAUUUUAGGUCGUCUUGUUUCAAACACCUAUUAAAUCUAUCUAAAGGAUGAUGAUCGAGUUGCACUUUUUGUUGCCAACGAACGGAAAACAGCUACCAGCUCUUGCUUUUGCUCCACCACCCGUUUUUUCUAAGAGAUCAGAGAUGUAUAUUUUCGCUCUGCAGUUUGUUGCUUUUAGCUAAAUAGUUGAAGAAAUUUUUCUCCUCAAAAUAUUUGGUAAGUAAAUAAGAACAGUUUUGCAUGUAAUAUAAGUUGUUAUCGUGGGCGUGGAAACGACAUUUAUUCACUAUUACUUGUGGAUACACUGGAAGAUAAACUAAUGGCGUUUUCGUUUUUGACUCUGCACCGCACCAGUGUAGUCGGUGCUACACUCAUUCAAACCUGAGGGUAAUCAGUUUAUCUCUUUUUUUGCAUUACACCGGUGUAGCACCAAGAAAAAACGAAAGCGCCAUAAGACUAAUUUAAUUUCUACCACAUUUUAUAGAUUAUUUCUGCUGCCUCUGCACUCCUUGCUGUCGUUCGAUUCCGUUCACGUAGCUUCGACGUGCUGCCUCGUGGAUCGUCAACUCGUUGGUAGCGAGCCGCGUGGCUUGUUUCGAUAUUCCACCUGUUGCUAUGGGCCUUGGUUGCGUUUAGAUGACCUCGCAUCUGCGUGGUGACUUCAGAAAACUAUUCAGUCAUGUCAAACUAAGGCUUCCAAUAGUCAACACCGGUGAAACAACGUCAUCUCGGUUAUUGACUUCAGAUACAUCGAUCAAUACGGAACAUUUGAACAAGACUGUAGCUUACCCGAGCUCCGAGCCACUACAAUUCCAUUUGACUUUAGUCAUACCGGCUGGAAUAUAAUAUAGAAUUCUGGCUGUCUAAGAGACAAGUAUUUUAAUUGUGCAUUCAUUUUUUUUUGUUUUUUGUUGAUGAUUAAUUCAUUUCAAAUAUAUUUGUAGUUGGGACUGUGUCCACAUUUGUAAUUAUGGCGCCACUGACAUAUGAGCAAGCGUAUGGGGGAUAGACCACUAGUGAAUAAUUGUUCUUAAA